AGAGUUUGAGUUCUGGCUCAGGAUGAACGCUAGCUACAGGCUUAACACAUGCAAGUCGAGGGUAGCAGGGUAGCAAUACCGCUGACGACCGGCGCACGGGUGAGUAACACGUAUCCAACCUUCCCAUAACUCAGGGAUAGCCUUUCGAAAGAAAGAUUAAUACCUGAUAGUACUUUUUCAAGGCAUCUUGAGAAAGUUAAAGAUUUAUUGGUUAUGGAUGGGGAUGCGUUCCAUUAGAUAGUUGGUGAGGUAACGGCUCACCAAGUCUUCGAUGGAUAGGGGUUCUGAGAGGAAGGUCCCCCACAUUGGUACUGAGACACGGACCAAACUCCUACGGGAGGCAGCAGUGAGGAAUAUUGGUCAAUGGGCGAGAGCCUGAACCAGCCAAGUAGCGUGAAGGAUUGAAGGUCCUAUGGAUUGUAAACUUCUUUUAUAGUAGAAUAAAGUGAUCCACGUGUGGAUUUUUGUAUGUAUACUAUGAAUAAGGAUCGGCUAACUCCGUGCCAGCCGCUGC
rnacentral:rRNA from 1 species